CUGAAACUAGCAUUCUAAUUCACUCAGAAUCACUUGCUUUAUCUGAAUCGCUUCCUCAAAACCUAGAGACUAUUAAGUUACUUCUCACUCCUAUUUUCUCUGUUCUGGUUCGGAUUGAUAGUGUCGAUGUUUUGGAAAAUGUCCCUUAUGCAGAGUGUAUAACGUUGAUCCUCCAUUGCAGCUUUUGCUUGAAGCAACUUCAGUGAUGGUGGAAAUAAGGACGAACUGGAAGCAGAACUUAAAGAAUAAGGCAUGGCAUAUCAACACCACAAUCGUGCAGGGAAGAUACGAUGUUUGCUGUCCUAUGAUGUCAGCCUGGGAUCUUCAUAAAGCUUGGCCAGAGGUAGAUUUUCGGGUACUUGUCUGCACAAUAACUCUGGCAUGGGAUGUCAAUCUACCUGCUCACAGGUACAUUGCUACAUGCACGGUGUUGUGAAAGUGUGAAGUCCACAGUAUCACACAACAUGCCUGCACUGUGUUGCUACAUGCCUUGCUAGAUGACUGCUUUCAUUUUUUUAUUCCAGUUCAGACCAGAUUAGCCCUGAUGCAAGAAAAGGUACUAAUUAUGGUGGUUGUCAAAUUACUCGUGCUAACUUAUUGAC